rnacentral:rRNA from 1 species
CAGCCGCCGCGGUAAUCCGUAGGGGGCGAGCGUUGUCCGGAAUUAUUGGGCGUAAAGCGCGCGCAGGCGGUCCCUUAAGUCUGAUGUGAAAGCCCACGGCUCAACCGUGGAGGGUCAUUGGAAACUGGGGGACUUGAGUGCAGAAGAGGAGAGCGGAAUUCCACGUGUAGCGGUGAAAUGCGUAGAGAUGUGGAGGAACACCAGUGGCGAAGGCGGCUCUCUGGUCUGUAACUGACGCUGAGGCGCGAAAGCGUGGGGAGCAAACAGGAUUAGAUACCCUGGUAGUCCACGCCGUAAACGAUGAGUGCUAAGUGUUAGAGGGGUUAAACCCUUUAGUGCUGUAGCUAACGCGUUAAGCACUCCGCCUGGGGAGUACGGCCGCAAGGCUGAAACUUAAAGGAAUUGGCGGG